CCUCCCCUGUCCUAUUCAGGAUUUUGACGGAAUAUGAAAUCUCAUUACCCGGAGUCAAUGAAUGACAUCUGUUCCCCAUCCCCCUCCUGAAGCCAUCAUUCCAUUUGCUUGGUGCUGUGAAACCAACCCAAAUGCCCAUCAAUAAUAGACUAGAGAAAGAAAGUUUUUGUCUUAAAAUCUAUUUUGUCUGAUAUAAGUUUAGGUACUCCUGCUUUUCUUUGGUUUCCAUUGACAUGCAAUAUCUUUUUCCAUCUCUUUAUUUUCAGCCUCUGUUUAUCUUUAUAGGUGAAGUGCAUUUCUUGCAGGCAACAGAUCAUUAGAUCUUGCUUUUUCAUUCAUUCAGCCACUCUGUAUCUUUUAUUGGAGAGUUUAGCCCAUUUACAUUCAAUGUUAUUAUUGAUAAGUAAGGAUUUACACAUGCCAUUUUGUUAUUUGUUUUCUGAUUGUUUUGUGUUUAUCUCUUCCUUUUUUUCUUCUUUCCUGUCUUCCUUUUAGUGAAGGUGAUUUUCUCUGGUGAUAUGUUUUAAUUUCUUGCUUUUUCUUUUUUGUAUAUCUAUUGCAUGUUUUUUGAUUUGAGGUUACCAUGGGACUUGCAAAUACUGUCUUAUAAUCCAUUAUUUUAAUCUGAUAACAACUUAACCCUGUUCCAAACAAACAAAAAUAAAACUAAUAAAGACUCCAUGUCUUAACUUUGUUCCCUGCUUUUUAACUUUUUGUUCUUUCUCUUUAUGUCUUAUUGUACUGUCUAUGUCCUGAAUAGUUGUUGUAGUUAUUAUUUUUGAUUGGUUCAUUAUUUAGUCUUUCUACUUAAGAUAUGAG
rnacentral:lncRNA from 1 species